GCACAGAUGGCCGAGUGGUCUAAGGCGUCAGACUCAAGUUCUGAUGGAAGUAAUUCCGCGUGGGUUCAAAUCCCACUCUGUGCA